rnacentral:rRNA from 1 species
AAUGAACGCUGGCGGCGUGCUUAACACAUGCAAGUCGAACGAGAAAGGGAUUGCUUGCAAUCCUGAGUAGAGUGGCGCACGGGUGAGUAACACGUAGAUAAUCUACCUUCGAUUUUGGGAUGACCAUCCGAAAGGAUGGCUAAUACCGGAUAAGGUUUUAAUACGCGAGUAUAAAGAUGAAAGUAUGCCUCUUCAUGAAAGCAUAUGAUUGGAGAUGAGUCUGCGGACCAUUAGUUUGUUGGUAGGGUAAUGGCCUACCAAGACUACGAUGGUUAGCUGGUCUGAGAGGAUGAUCAGUCACACUGGAACUGGAACACGGUCCAGACUCCUACGGGAGGCAGCAGUGAGGAAUUUUGCGCAAUGGGGGAAACCCUGACGCAGCAACGCCGCGUGAGUGAAGAAGGCCUUUGGGUCGUAAAGCUCUGUCAACUGGGAAGAAGUUACAACAAUCUAAUAGGUGGUUGUAUUGACGGUACCAGUGGAGGAAGCGCCGGCUAACUCCGUGCCAGCAGCCGCGGUAACACGGGGGGGCGCAAGCGUUAUUCGGAAUUAUUGGGCGUAAAGGGCGUGUAGGCGGUCUUAUCGGUCAGAUGUGAAAGCCCAGGGCUCAACCCUGGACGUGCAUUUGAAACAGUAAGACUUGAGUACUGGAGAGGAAAGCGGAAUUCCUGGUGUAGAGGUGAAAUUCGUAGAUAUCAGGAGGAACACCGAUGGCGAAGGCAGCUUUCUGGACAGAAACUGACGCUGAUGCGCGAAGGCGUGGGUAGCGAACAGGAUUAGAUACCCUGGUAGUCCACGCAGUAAACGAUGUACACUAGGUGUAGGAGAUAUUAAAAUUUUCUGUGCCGCAGUUAACGCAUUAAGUGUACCGCCUGGGGAGUACGGUCGCAAGACUAAAACUCAAAGGAAUUGACGG